rnacentral:rRNA from 1 species
AUGUCCAUCGUCAAGCGUGCUUUGGGCUUCGGUGGCGGCUACGGCCAGAGCCAGAGCAAGCCCGUGAUAAGCUACCACACCCAGAACUCCGACUCCGUGACCACCGUCGUGACGGAGAUCAGCCACAUGAGCCUCAACGGUAAGCAGGCCGCGUACAACGGGAGCGACGUCGGAGGCUUCGACGCCCUCGUCUGUGACAACGCCGCGCAGAAGCACGGCGGCUACAGCGAGCAGAAGGCGUCGUCGUACCAGCAUGAGAGCGGCGCCGGAGGGUACAGCGCUCACCACCACGAAAGCUCCGUGCAGAAGCACGGUGGCUACGGCGGGCAGAAGACGUCGUCGUAUCAGCAUGGAGGCUACGACGCUGCCAGCCACGACAGCACCGGCGCAACGCAGAAGUAUGCCUACGGUGAGCAGAAGGCUUACCAGCAUUAUGGGGCUGAGGCCCACCAUGACAGCUCGGCGCAGAAGCAUGGCUAUGGCGAGCAGAAGGCGUACGGUGGUCACCACCAGGACAGCAAGGUCCAGAAGAGCGGCUACGGCGGCGAGCAUACGGCGUACCAGCAUGAAGGCAAUCUCAAGGGGUACACCGCUCUCCAUCAGGACAGCAAGGUCCAGAAGCACGGCUACGGCGGCGAGCAGAAGGCGUACGUCGACAGCACGGUCCAGAAGCACGGCUACAACGAGCACAAGGCGUACGAGCAUGGGAGCGCCGCCGCCGCCCUCCACCACGACAGCUACGGCGUCGUGAAGAAGCACGACUACGGAGGCGAGCAGUACCAGCAUGGCGCUGCAGCGGGAGGAUACGACGGCGUCCACCACGACAGCUCGGUGCAGAAGCACGGCUACGGGGAGAAGGCAUACCAGCACGGGAGCGACGCCGGAGGGUACGGCGGUGUCCACCACGGCAGCGCGACGCAGAAGCACGGCUACGGCGCUGGGCAAAAGGCUUACGCGCACGAUGCUGAUGCCGGAGGAUACGACGCUGCUUUCCACCACGGCGGCGCGAAGCAGACGAAGCACGGCUACGGCGGCCGGCAGAUGGCUUACCAGCACGGUGCCGACGCCGGAGGGUACGGAGGGUACACCAGUAACACCACUUUCUACCACGGCGGUGUGGCGCAGAACGCGUCGUACCAGCAAGGGUGCGCCACCGGCGUCGCCGGGUACGACACGCUCGUCCAGAAGCAGCACGGGGCCUCCGGCGGCCUGCAAAAUGCGUACCCGCAGCAAGGGUGCGGCGUCGGCGGCGUCGCAGGGUAUGAUGCUCUUACCCAACGCCGUGAGAGAGAGAAGCAGCGGUUCAACCACGGGUGUGAGAGUGACGAAGAGAGCGAGGAGGAGAGCGACUGCGAAGAGGAGGUGGUGGGCCUUGCGGCGCCCGGCGGCACGCAGUACUACGCGGCGUACGAGCGCCACCAGCAGCUCGGCGGCGGCGGCUAUGGCGGCGGGUGCGCACAGCCCAAGAAUCACAGCUACUACUGA